UACAGAGGGUGCGAGCGUUAAUCGGAAUUACUGGGCGUAAAGCGCACGUAGUCGGCUUUGUAAGUCGGUUGUGAAAUCCCCGGGCUCAACCUGGGAACUGCAUCCGAGACUGCAUUGCUAGAGUAUGGGAGAGGGAAGCGGAAUUUCUGGUGUAGCGGUGAAAUGCGUAGAUAUCAGAAGGAACAUCAGUGGCGAAGGCGGCUUCCUGGACCAAUACUGACGAUCAGGUGCGAAAGCGUGGGGAGCAAACAGG
rnacentral:rRNA from 1 species